rnacentral:rRNA from 1 species
GACGAACGCUGGCGGCGUGCCUAAUACAUGCAAGUCGAACGCAGUGGGGACGGGUGAGUAACACGUGGGUAACCUCCCAUCAGAGGGGAUAACACUUGGAAACAGGUGCUAAACCGAUACUGAUGGAUGGACCCGCGUUGCUUUAGCUAGGUGGUGCGGUAACGGCUCACCAAGGCCACGAUGCAUAGCCGACUUGAGAGGGGGGUCGGCCACACCGGGACUGAGACACGGCCGAGACUCCUACUGGAGGCAGGAGUAGGGAAUCUGCGGCAAUGGACGAAAGUCUGACCGAGCAAAGCCGCGUGAGUGAAGAAGGUUUUCGGAUCGUAAAACUCUGUUGUUAGAGAAGCGGUAUCUAACCGGAAAGCCACGGCUAACUACGUGCCAGCAGCCGCGGUAAUAC